rnacentral:rRNA from 1 species
CCUACGGGGUGCAGCAGUGGGGAAUAUUGGGCAAUGGGCGCAAGCCUGACCCAGCAACGCCGCGUGAAGGAAGAAGGCUUUCGGGUUGUAAACUUCUUUUGUCAGGGAAGAGUAGAAGACGGUACCUGACGAAUAAGCCACGGCUAACUACGUGCCAGCAGCCGCGGUAAUACGUAGGUGGCAAGCGUUGUCCGGAUUUACUGGGUGUAAAGGGCAUGUAGCCGGGUUGACAAGUCAGAUGUGAAAUCCUGCGGCUUAACCGCAGAACUGCAUUUGGAACUGUUGAUCUUGAGUACUGGAGAGGCAGAUGGAAUUCCUAGUGUAGCGGUGAAAUGCGUAGAUAUUAGGAGGAACACCAGUGGCGAAGGCGGUCUGCUGGACAGCAACUGACGGUGAGGCGCGAAAGCGUGGGGAGCAAACAGGAUUAGAUACCCGUGUAGUC